rnacentral:rRNA from 1 species
AUUGCCUUAGUAACGGCGAGUGAAGCGGCAACAGCUCAAAUUUGAAAUCUGGCCCCAGGCCCGAGUUGUAAUUUGCAGAGGAUGCUUUUGGCGCGGUGCCUUCCAAGUUCCCUGGGACGGGACGCCGGAGAGGGUGAGAGCCCCGUCAGGUCGGACACCAAGCCUAUGUAAAGCUCCUUCGACGAGUCGAGUAGUUUGGGAAUGCUGCUCAAAAUGGGAGGUAUAUGUCUUCUAAAGCUAAAUACCGGCCAGAGACCGAUAGCGCACAAGUAGAGUGAUCGAAAGAUGAAAAGCACUUUGGAAAGAGAGUUAAACAGCACGUGAAAUUGUUGAAAGGGAAGCGUUUACGACCAGACUUGUGCCGGUUGAUCAUCCAGCGUUCUCGCUGGUGCACUCUGCCGGCCCAGGCCAGCAUCAGUUCGCCGCGGGGGAUAAAGGCGUCGGGAAUGUAGCUCCCUCCGGGAGUGUUAUAGCCCUUCGCGUAAUACCCUGAGGUGGACUGAGGUUCGCGCAUUCGCAAGGAUGCUGGCGUAAUGGUCGUCAACGACCCGUCUUGAAACACGGACCAAGGAGUCGUCUUCGUAUGCGAGUGUUCGGGUGUAAAACCCCUACGCGUAAUGAAAGUGAACGCAGGUGAGAGCUUCGGCGCAUCAUCGACCGAUCCUGAUGUUCUCGGAUGGAUUUGAGUAAGAGCAUACGGGGCCGGACCCGAAAGAAGGUGAACUAUGCCUGUAUAGGGUGAAGCCAGAGGAAACUCUGGUGGAGGCUCGCAGCGGUUCUGACGUGCAAAUCGAUCGUCAAAUAUGGGCAUGGGGGCGAAAGACUAAU